AUGGAACCUCGUCCGUCAAGCAGGCCGGCCGGAUGCUCACUGGCCGUUGUGUCGUUAAUUUCUCGUUUUUGUCUUCCUGUCGAUGGCUAUGUGUUUAUUGGAAGGAAAAGUCGGGCGAAGCAACCUAUCGUUUUCCAGCAUGCGUGGAGAAAAAACAGUUCGCUUCUGGAGAUUGAAAGAUUGUACGUAUGUGGUCACUCUAAGACAUGGUCAUAUGCUGGAUUGUUCUCACUCCACCUGUCGGAUGACAAGAGCGUCAGGGAAGUGGCUUCAGUCUCGGCGGCGAGUGGCCUGCGGCGUGGGGAGCGGCGGUUGAUCCUAGUGGCUAGGUAA
rnacentral:rRNA from 1 species